AUGACGCUAAAAGUCUCGUCCCGAACGCCCUUUCCACCGCAGGAUUUCAACACAAAUCUUAAAGCACGUCAGAAUUGCCACGUCAUUUAUUUUUUUCGUUCGGGAAAAUCAAGGGCCGCCGCGAACCUUUUCCUCCGCGCACACGCGUGCCCACUACUCUAUUCAUUUCCCUCUCCCUCCACCGCCCCCACCCACUCUCCUCGCUGCGGGACAGAAGAGAGAAGUGACCAAGCGCCGGCGACGAGGCGGGCAUGCGUCGGUGACGAGGCGGGCGGCGACGGGGAGAAGUUUCACCGGUGGUGCAGGGGCCGGAUCUGGCCGAAAUCGGGCCGAAGGCGGGGGAGAGGCAGAUGCUCGCCGGACGAGCUCAGUGUCAGCACCAGCACGCUCGUCGGGGAGUGCGGCGAGCAGCAGCAGGCUCGAUGGAGAAGGGCGGCGUGCAGGGGAGAGGCGGAGGCUCACCACCAGCACGCUCGCCGGAGAGUUCGGCGAGCAGCAACCCACCACCAGCAGGCUCGCUGGGUGGCGCUCCGGAUCCUGCGUUGGCGCGGCGAGGCCUCCUCCCCUCGUCCCAGCCGUAGGAGGACACACAGUUCAAGUCUUCAUGGCAAGUUUUUGUUGCACUGCACUGUGAGGCUGUUUGCUGCAUCUGAUAUUUUCUUCAAGUCUAAUCUCAUUGCUGUUAUAAAGGAAGAUGCCUGCUACGACCGUGUUCGUAGUCUCGUUGAUCAGCUCCGGCCAUGGCUCCAAUUCUCAGUGAGGAAGCCAGCAGGAAGUAUAUCACUCUGCUUUUGUGAAUGCAGUGAGCCGUUGUGCCAUUUCCUGGCCGCCGAGCCUUCAGAUUCGGCGCUUCGACGAAAGAACGGGGGGACUCGCCCAUCUACUUCGCCAACUCCGGUAACACGCGCGAGAGGAUCACACGAACGGACCAGUGCCAAGGGCAAGACCGGCGUGCAGUACAUCGUCCUUGACAUGGGUGCAGCCAUCAGCAGCAUCGUCAGGAGGGGCAUGCUGGACGAGCUCAAGAAGACCCUGGACAGGAGGGGCAUUCAGAUGCCAUGGGAACAUGGCAUAUUUUGUAGAGAAAUGUUGAAAGAUGAAAAAAGGCCUGUAGGGGCGAUGGGAAGGAGCGUUCGGGCUGGGAGGCCUCUCCCCCCGAAUGAUUUCGUUCGUAGGGGGCUGCCUGUCGCACCGAACUCCUCGUUUGGUCUGGGAGGCCCCCAGACCGAAUGUUCGGUCCUUAUCGACGUCCGUCUUAACCCCCUCAUGGUCUACAAAUGGGAAACAUACAUGCAUUUGUCAUCAGUAGCAGUUUUUAGAUGGCAAGAACAAUAUCGGAGCAUGGCAAGAUCAGCACAAAACACAUGGCAAGAACGGAAACACAAACUUCAUGGCAAGAACAGGGCGUUUUGGUGCCCAGGUCCAGCUGAACCUGAAAUCUUAGGCGUUGAAUGGUGCACCGGGAUGCUAGAAAAUCCUACUGGCAUGCCAAAACCUGUCUGUCGGGAAAUUAGAUACAUCCAGUAUACUGGAUGGUACAGUGCAGAGAUGCCGGUAGAUUUUGACGAUUAUAUAGUGGGUGGGAGCAAACUAAUAUCUCUUGUGGACGUGCGAGAUCUCUGGGUCUUCCAAAACCGAGUAGACCUAGCAGGUUUGGAUGUCGUCGGCGGCGGACUGACAUCACCGGAGAGCCAUGGCAGACGACAGCUCUUCAACGAUUGGCAUGUGAAAAUCUCCAUCGGAACGAUUAUCCUUGUGUUGUUCUUCAACGAUUGGCUGAUUGCUCGCUUGUUUCAACCUGGAGCAGGUGCAGUUCACUUUCUGAUCGUAAAAGUGCUGCUGCAAAUGUUGAACGGCUGGUUGGGUGUUGGCUAUGAGCCUGACCACUUCGUCACUGCACGAAAAGCACGGGAUGAGAGGAUGAGAGGGAGUAGCUGUUGGUGCUGA
rnacentral:rRNA from 1 species